UACCUAGUUUCACAUGGAUGCUAACGUGGU
rnacentral:piRNA from 1 species